UACAGAGGUCCCAAGCGUUGUUCGGAUUCACUGGGCGUAAAGGGUGCGUAGGUGGUUAGGUAAGUCUGAUGUGAAAUCUCUGGGCUCAACCCAGAAACUGCAUUGGAUACUAUCUAGCUAGAGUGCGGUAGAGGGUAGUGGAAUUCCCGGUGUAGCAGUGAAAUGCGUAGAGAUCGGGAGGAACACCAGUGGCGAAGGCGGCUACCUGGACCAGCACUGACACUGAGGCACGAAAGCGUGGGGAGCAAACAGG
rnacentral:rRNA from 1 species